rnacentral:rRNA from 1 species
AAUCAACGCUGGCGGCGUGCCUCAGACAUGCAAGUCGAACGCGAAAGUCUCCUUCGGGAGACGAGUAGAGUGGCGCACGGGUGAGUAACACGUAGGUUAUCUACCUCCGAGUGGGGAAUAACAGCCGGAAACGGCUGCUAAUACCGCAUAAUACCGAAAGGUCAAAGCUUUAUGUGCUUGGAGAGGAGCCUGCGGCAGAUUAGCUAGUUGGUAAGGUAAUGGCUUACCAAGGCGACGACGGGUAGCCGGCCUGAGAGGGCGACCGGCC